UUGGGCAAGGCGCGGUGGCUUAC
rnacentral:miRNA from 1 species